rnacentral:rRNA from 1 species
UACAGAGGGUGCGAGCGUUGUUCGGAAUUAUUGGGCGUAAAGGGCGCGUAGGCGGUGCGGUAAGUCACCUGUGAAAUCUCCUGGCUCAACUGGGAGCUUGCAGGCGAAACUGCCGUGCUGGAGUGUGGGAGAGGUGCGUGGAAUUCCUGGUGUAGCGGUGAAAUGCGUAGAUAUCAGGAGGAACACCUGUGGCGAAAGCGGCGCACUGGACCACAACUGACGCUGAGGCGCGAAAGCGUGGGGAGCGAACAGG